CCUCCUUAUACGAUUUAGAACUUAUUUGUUCGUAGUGUCCACACAGAUGAUUGUUAGUUAGUUUUACCCUUUGGGUUUAACUGAUUAAUAUGCUCUUUAAAAAUUUGGAAAAGCUGAUAAUAAAAUUCGUAUGAAUAACACUGUUAUUUGUACAGAGUUUUCAAAAGUAAAAAAGAAUGAUAGCAGUAUCAUUCAGUGCCAAUUUAAUCAUUUAUGAUUAAUUGGUAUCUACUUUAGUAUUCAAUAUUAACUUCUGGCGAAGUUAAACUGUCACUAACAAAGACCCGUUUGGGUUGUAUGGUUAAGUGAUUAAGCGUACACGGUGGAUGCCUUGGCAGUUGGAGGCGAUGAAGGACGUAUUAACUUGCGAUAAGCCUAGUCAAGCUAGUAAAAAGCGCUUGAGACUAGGAUUUCCGAAUGGGGAAACCAAGGGCGA
rnacentral:misc_RNA from 1 species